UACGAAGGGGACUAGCGUUGUUCGGAUUUACUGGGCGUAAAGCGCGCGUAGGCGGAUCGCUAAGUCAGGGGUGAAAUCCCGAGGCUCAACCUCGGAACUGCCUUUGAUACUGACGAUCUGGAGAUCGGGAGAGGUGAGUGGAAUUCCGAGUGUAGAGGUGAAAUUCGUAGAUAUUCGGAGGAACACCAGAAGCGAAGGCGGCUCACUGGCCCGAUACUGACGCUGAGGCGCGAAAGCGUGGGGAGCAACAGG
rnacentral:rRNA from 1 species